CUGACCAGCAACGCCGCGUGAAGGAAGAAGGCCCUCGGGUUGUAAACUUCUUUUGUCAGGGACGAAGCAAGUGACGGUACCUGACGAAUAAGCCACGGCUAACUACGUG
rnacentral:rRNA from 1 species